AAUUGAAAGAGGAUGAGGAGUCGGGAAUUUCCUCUGGUUUUUUAAACUCGAUACUUCGAAAUGGCUGGCCCGUCUAAACGGAAUUCACCGGCGGUUGAGUUGGUGGGGCCCGGCCUUUGUUAAACAAGAGAAGAAAAGAGGAAUCCCGGGCAGAGCUGCCCCUGCCCGUCCUGCCCACUGUCUAUCAUUUUGCUCUAUAAAUUCAAGUGCUGCCUUGUGAAAUGCAGUUUGCCGCUUUAGCUACUCAACGCCGGGUGCGUAGCUUUAUUUUCCGGGAUCUGAAAUUGACACGUCGGAUGUCUCUCGCCGGAAAAUAUGAGACUCGACGACUGUGUGUCAGAUCCCGGCGCUCGUCGCAUGUCCGUGGAGUCUGAUGUCUCUGGAUCUCAAUCUUGCUAAAGAGAAGAAAGAUACCCUGCUUGCCCCUCCUCUCCCGCCAUGUUAUGAUCUUGACCGUUCAUCUACAAGUUCACACUGUAGAUGGCCAACGUGGGUAAAUCCUCAGCAUCAGAUAUCUCAGUGAUUUGUAACCCGCAUUUUUAUGCAUGGACGGUUAGAUCUCUCGCCAGUAAGCCCUAUCGUCACGUGAUGGGUACCUUUUGGACCUAGACCAACGGUCUGGAUCAUCUAUUGGUGGGACAGUAGGGACGACAAGCGUCGAGCUAGUAGGAAUGAUGAGAUCCCUGAUGCGGCAUGAAUCCUGUCCCAAAUCAUCUGGUCAUACACAUGGUGUCCUAGUUCAUUGAUUUGGACCGUUGUUUGGUGGCCCCCACCAUGGACGGCGGAUGUCCCAACAGUCUCCCAUUUUGGAAGAUCUAACUGUUGAUCAGCUGGUUAGAGAGAUGCUAUUAAGAAAAUAAUACAGCAAGGGUCUCGAAUUAGGCCCGAUAUUAGAAAGCAAGGACCUUUCAAGAUGGAAGGUUUCGAGGGCAUCUUCAGUCCAUGAUGGGGUCCACCAGAUAAAAGAUCUGGACCACUAAAUCAUGGGAGCAUCGUGGAUGGACGGGGCAGAAGGACAAGACUCACCCCUUGAUGCAUUAGGACUCGAGCUAUUCCAUAAUGGUACGGUAACGGCCACCGUUACCGUUACAAUAUGACUAUAAUAGACUUU